GUAUUAAAAAAUAAUAAUUUCAAGUGAAAAGAUAGGGAAAAAAAUAAAUGAUAUGGAUUGAGAAUUAUAAAAUGUGAUUAUGAAUGGUGAGAUUGCAACGAGUAUAUAAUAACAAGUGAACUAAGUUUGCAAGCUUAAAUGCGGACAGCAAAAAAAGGUAGAAUUUAAACAAUAAAAUAAAUCUAUGUAAUCAUGUAUGAGUCGUUGAGUAGUUAUUCCACAUUUGUAUAGCAAUUUGAUCUCUGACUUGUUCCAUAUGAGAUGUUUGACUAGCAUCAAAUUGUAUCUUCACACAAUUCUGACACAUCUUCAAAUAUCAUACUUCGAUGAAUAUUGAGCAAGAAGUCUAUCCAAGGCGUGUUCCUGACGAAUAAAGUUAUGUAGUCUGCAACAUGUAGUAGGAAUUUGUCUCAGUCUAUCAAGUGGAUAAUUGGUCAUUAACUUCAAAAAUGGGAAAUCUUGCCUUUAAUACUCCAAUGCAACGUUCAAUAAUAUUUCGACACGAUGAGUGUUUAUAGUUGAAUAGCUCAUUCUUUCCACGCAGUCUUCCUCGUCCUCUAUAAUCACGUAAAUGAUAUCUUCGGCCUCGAUAAGGAGCAAAAAAUCCGAGCAUGUUUGGAUAGCCAGAGUCGACAAGAUAAAAUUGAUUUACAAAAGAAUUAUAAUUUAAGACUGAAAUACUAUAAAAAUAUUUGAUGACUUCUUUUGAUUAUUAGAAUCUACCCCCUCGUGGCAUUGGAAAGUUGUUUGAUGCUUUUGUAUCUGCAUCAAUGAACACUCGAAAAUCAUUAACGAUACCUUCCUAUCCAGAAUACACAAAUAUGAAUUUCAUAUCAAAAUCACAUGCAAGCAUCACGUUUUGUGUUAUAUUAGUUUUCCUUCCACAAAAAGAUGUUUGUCUCGAUGCAAUUGUCCAAGCUGAAACAUGUGUUCCAUCUAAUGCUCAUAUACAAUCCUAUAAUGUGAUAACAAAUGAGACUUUAUUGAGCUAAACUAAGAAUAGAAUAAAACUAACAAUAAAGAAAGGACAUUUGCACAGGAAAUGCUCAUGUACGGUACCUUGGUUUGUUGUGCGAAUUAUCUUCGUGCCAAAUGAACAAAUAACCCUUAAAACUCGCUUAAAACAUUUUGAUAUUUUAUGAUUGGAAUGUUGAAAGCGAUCACCAAUAACUCUAUAUCGUGUUGUGUGCCUUAUAAUUAUCAGAAACAUAACAACACCCUUCUCAACACUCACAUUUUCUCCAUCUCUCAAU
rnacentral:lncRNA from 1 species